rnacentral:rRNA from 1 species
UAUUGCACAAUGGGGGAAACCCUGAUGCAGCGACGCCGCGUGAAGGAAGAAGUAUUUCGGUAUGUAAACUUCUAGCAGCAGGGAAGAANAUGACGGUACCUGACUAAGAAGCCCCGGCUAACUACGUGCCAGCAGCCGCGGUAAUACGCAGGGGGCAAGCGUUAUCCGGAAUUACUGGGUGUAAAGGGAGCGUAGGCGGUUCAGCAAGUCAGAAGUGAAAGCCCGGGGCUUAACUCCGGGACUGCUUUUGAAACUGUUGAACUAGAUUGCAGGAGAGGUAAGUGGAAUUCCUAGUGUAGCGGUGAAAUGCAUAGAUAUUAGGAGGAACACCAGUGGCGAAGGCGGCUUACUGGACUGUAACUGACACUGAGGCUCGAAAGCGUGGGGAGCAAACAGG